rnacentral:rRNA from 1 species
AGCGAACGCUGGCGGCAUGCCUAACACAUGCAAGUCGCACGGGGGGGCUUCGGCCUCCCAGUGGCGGACGGGUGAGGAACGCGUAGGGACCUGUCGAGGGGUGGGGGAUAACCGCGGGAAACUGCGGCUAAUACCGCAUGACGCCGCGGCGUGACAGCCGGGGCCAAAGGCGAAAGCCGCCCGCCGAGGGGCCUGCGUCCGAGUAGCUGGUUGGCGGGGUAGCGGCCGACCAAGGCGUCGACCGGUAGCUGGUCUGAGAGGGUGAUCAGCCACACCGGGACUGCGACCCGGCCCGGACUCCUACGGGAGGCAGCAGUGGGGAAUAUUGGACGAUGGGCGCAAGCCUGAUCCCGCCAUGCCGCGUGGGUGAAGAAGGUCUUCGGAUUGUACAGCCCUUUCGGCGGGGACGAUGGUGACGGUACCCGCAGAAGAAGCCCCGGCUAACUUCGUG